GAGGGUAUAGCUCAGUGGCAGAGUGCCUGCUUAGCAUUCAUGAGUUCCUGGGUUCAAUCCCCAGUCCCUCU
rnacentral:tRNA from 1 species